rnacentral:rRNA from 1 species
GGUCAAGAAGAGAAGCGCAAACGGUGGAUGCCUUGGCAGUAAGAGGCGAAGAAGGACGUGGAAUCCUGCGAAAAGCUAUGGGGAGCUGGAAACGAGCGAUGAGCCAUAGAUGUCCGAAUGGGGGAACCCGGCUGCAGCGAU